rnacentral:rRNA from 1 species
AGAGUUUGAUCCUGGCUCAGAGCGAACGCUGGCGGCGUACUUAACACAUGCAAGUCGAACGGGGAUCGUCAGUGUAGCAAUACAUCGGCGGUUCUAGUGGCGCACGGGUGAGUAACACGUGGGUAACCUGUCCUUGAGUCCGGGAUACCCUUUCGAAAGGAAGGCUAAUACCGGGUACGUUCCUCGGGUUGCGAAAUCUGGGGAGGAAAGGUGGCGAAAGCUACCGCUCUUGGAGGGGCUCGCGGCCUAUCAGCUAGUUGGUGAGGUAACGGCUCACCAAGGCGAUGACGGGUAGCUGGUCUGAGAGGACGACCAGCCACACGGGAACUGAGACACGGUCCCGACUCCUACGGGAGGCAGCAGUGGGGAAUUUUCCGCAAUGGGCGAAAGCCUGACGGAGUGACGCCGCGUGGGGGACGAAGGCCUUCGGGUCGUAAACCCCUGUCAGAGGGAAAGAAGGGUCGCUUGGCUAAUAUCCAAGUGAUCUGACGGUACCUUCAGAGGAAGCCCCGGCCAACUCUGUGCCAGCAGCCGCGGUAAGACAGAGGGGGCAAGCGUUGCUCGGAAUCACUGGGCGUAAAGGGCGCGUAGGCGGGAUGGCAAGUCGGUCGUGAAAUCUCUCGGCUCAACCGAGAAACGUCGGCCGAUACUGCCGUUCUUGAGGGAUGCAGAGGAGACUGGAAUUCCCGGUGUAGCGGUGAAAUGUGUAGAGAUCGGGAGGAACACCGGUGGCGAAAGCGGGUCUCUGGGCAUUUCCUGACGCUGAGGCGCGAAAGCGUGGGGAGCAAACGGGAUUAGAUACCCCGGUAGUCCACGCUGUAAACGAUGACGACUAGUGUGGGGUGGUUCAGUCCAUUCCGUGCCGCAGCUAACGCAUUAAGUCGUCCGCCUGGGGAGUACGGCCGCAAGUUGAAACUCAAAGGAAUUGACGGGGGCCCGCACAAGCGGUGGAGCAUGUGG